rnacentral:rRNA from 1 species
UAGGGAAUCUUCCACAAUGGACGCAAGUCUGAUGGAGCAACGCCGCGUGAGUGAAGAAGGCUUUCGGGUCGUAAAACUCUGUUAUUGAAGAAGAACGUGUGUGACAGUAACUGGUCAUGCAGUGACGGUAUUCAAUCAGAAAGUCACGGCUAACUACGUG